rnacentral:lncRNA from 1 species
CGUUACGUCUCCAACAAUACUCUGGAGAGGAGCGCAGCAGCGUUACGCCUCCUACAAUACUCUGGAGAGGAGCGCGGCAGCGUUACGCCUCCAACAAUACUCUGGAGAGGAGCGCGGCAGCGUUACGUCUAGAACAAUACUCUGGAGAGGAGCGCUGCAGCGUUACGUCUAGAACAAUACUCUGGAGAGGAGCGCGGCAGCGUUACGCCUCCAACAAUACUCUGGAGAGGAGCGCAGCAGCGUUACGCCUAGAACAAUACUCUGGAGAGGAGCGCGGCGGCGUUACGUCUAGAACAAUACUCUGGAGAGGAGCGCUGCAGCGUUACGUCUCCAACAAUACUCUGGAGAGGAGCGCGGCAGCGUUACGCCUCCUACAAUACUCUGGAGAGGAGCGCGGCAGCGUUACGCCUCCAACAAUACUCUGGAGAGGAGCGCGGCGGGGUUACGUCUAGAACAAUACUCUGGAGAGGAGCGCGGCAGCGUUACGUCUAGAACAAUACUCUGGAGAGGAGCGCGGCGGCGUUACGCCUCCAACAAUACUCUGGAGAGGAGCGCGGCAGCGUUACGUCUCCAACAAUACUCUGGAGAGGAGCGCGGCAGCGUUAAGUCUAGAACAAUACUCUGGAGAGGAGCGCGGCGGCGUUACGCCUCCAACAAUACUCUGGAGAGGAGCGCGGCAGCGUUACGCCUCCAACAAUACUCUGGAGAGGAGCGCUGCAGCGUUACGUCUCCAACAAUACUCUGGAGAGGAGCGCGGCAGCGUUACGUCUCCAACAAUACUCUGGAGAGGAGCGCUGCAGCGUUACAUCUAGAACAAUACUCUGGAGAGGAGCGCAGCAGCUUUACGUCUAGAACAAUACUCUGGAGAGGAGCGCGGCAGCGUUACGCCUCCAACAAUACUCUGGAGAGGAGCGCGGCAGCGUUACGUCUAGAACAAUACUCUGGAGAGGAGCGCGGCAGCGUUACGUCUAGAACAAUACUCUGGAGAGGAGCGCGGCAGCGUUACGUCUCCAACAAUACUCUGGAGAGGAGCGCGGCGGCGUUACGUCUAGAACAAUACUCUGGAGAGGAGCGCAGCAGCGUUACGUCUCCAACAAUACUCUGGAGAGGAGCGCGGCAGCGUUACGUCUCCAACAAUACUCUGGAGAGGAGCGCGGCGGCGUUACGUCUAGAACAAUACUCUGGAGAGGAGCGCAGCAGCGUUACGCCUCCAACAAUACUCUGGAGAGGAGCGCUGCAGCGUUACGUCUAGAACAAUACUCUGGAGAGGAGCGCUGCAGCGUUACGCCUCCAACAAUACUCUGGAGAGGAGCGCGGCAGCGUUACGCCUCCAACAAUACUCUGGAGAGGAGCGCGGCAGCGUUACGUCUAGAACAAUACUCUGGAGAGGAGCGCGGCAGCGUUACGCCUCCAACAAUACUCUGGAGAGGAGCGCUGCAGCGUUACGCCUCCAACAAUACUCUGGAGAGGAGCGCGGCGGCGUUACGUCUAGAACAAUACUCUGGAGAGGAGCGCGGCAGCGUUACGCCUCCAACAAUACUCUGGAGAGGAGCGCGGCAGCGUUACGUCUAGAACAAUACUCUGGAGAGGAGCGCUGCAGCGUUACGUCUAGAACAAUACUCUGGAGAGGAGCGCGGCAGCGAUACGUCUAGAACAAUACUCUGGAGAGGAGCGCUGCAGCGUUACGUCUAGAACAAUACUCUGGAGAGGAGCACGGCAGCGUUACGUCUAGAACAAUACUCUCGAGAGGAGCGCGGCAGCGUUACGUCUAGAACAAUACUCUGGAGAGGAGUGGACAUUAUUAUCACAAAGCGGUAUCAACGCUCACCUAAAAAGCCAAUGUGCCACUGGUUGAAAGAAACUGUCACUGGUUUCGGGCAUUUGGAGGUGCGUCUUGGUCAGUUAAGCUCAGAAAAUGCCGCCGUGAAUACAAUGAAUGGUGAGCUUCUCUAAUGUACUGUAGCUAGCUAGCCCUAACCCUAAUGUACUGUAGCUAGCUAGCCCUAACCCUAAUGUACUGUAGCUAGCUAACCCUAAUGUACUGUAGCUAGCUAACCCUAACCCUAAUGUUCUGUAGCUAGCUAGCCCUAACCCUAAUGUACUGUAGCUAGCUAACCCUGACCCUAAUGUACUGUAGCUAGCUAGCCCUAAUGUACUGUAGCUAGCUAACCCUAAUGAACUGUAGCUAGCUAGCCCUAACCCUAAUGUACUGUAGCUAGCUAGCCCUAACCCUAAUGUACUGUAGCUAGCUAGCCCUAACCCUAAUGUACUGUAGCUAGCUAACCCUAAUGUACUGUAGCUAGCUAACCCUAACCCUAAUGUACUGUAGCUAGCUAACCCUGACCCUAAUGUACUGUAGCUAGCUAGCCUAACCCUAAUGUACUGUAGCUAGCUAGCCUAACCCUGACCCUAAUGUACUGUAGCUAGCUAGCCCUAAUGUACUGUAGCUAGCUAGCCUAACCCUGACCCUAAUGUACUGUAGCUAGCUAACCCUAAUGUACUGUAGCUAGCCUAACCCUAAUGUACUGUAGCUAGCUAGCCCUAACCCUAAUGUACUGUAGCUAGCUAGCCCUAACCCUAAUGUACUGUAGCUAGCUAGCCCUAACCCUAAUGUACUGUAGCUAGCUAGCCUAACCCUGACCCUAAUGUACUGUAGCUAGCUAGCCUAACCCUAAUGUACUGUAGCUAGCUAGCCCUAACCCUAAUGUACUGUAGCUAGCUAGCCCUAACCCUAAUGUACUGUAGCUAGCUAGCCCUAACCCUAAUGUACUGUAGCUAGCUAGCCUAACCCUAAUGUACUGUAGCUAGCUAGCCUAACCCUAAUGUACUGUAGCUAGCCUAACCCUAAUGUACUGUAGCUAGCUAACCCUAAUGUACUGUAGCUAGCCUAACCCUAAUGUACUGUAGCUAGCUAGCCCUAACCCUAAUGUACUAUAGCUAGCUAGCCUAACCCUGACCCUAAUGUACUGUAGCUAGCUAGCCUAACCCUAAUGUACUGUAGCUAGCUAGCCCUAACCCUAAUGUACUGUAGCUAGCUAGCCCUAACCCUAAUGUACUGUAGCUAGCUAGCCCUAACCCUAAUGUACUGUAGCUAGCUAGCCUAACCCUAAUGUACUGUAGCUAGCUAGCCUAACCCUAAUGUACUGU